GAUGAACGCUAGCUACAGGCUUAACACAUGCAAGUCGAGGGGCAGCAUGGUCUUAGCUUGCUAAGGCCGAUGGCGACCGGCGCACGGGUGAGUAGCACGUAUCCAACCUGCCGUCUACUCUUGGACAGCCUUCUGAAAGGAAGAUUAAUACAAGAUGGCAUCAUGAGUCCGCAUGUUCACAUGAUUAAAGGUAUUCCGGUAGACGAUGGGGAUGCGUUCCAUUAGAUAGUAGGCGGGGUAACGGCCCACCUAGUCUUCGAUGGAUAGGGGUUCUGAGAGGAAGGUCCCCCACAUUGGAACUGAGACACGGUCCAAACUCCUACGGGAGGCAGCAGUGAGGAAUAUUGGUCAAUGGGCGAGAGCCUGAACCAGCCAAGUAGCGUGAAGGAUGACUGCCCUAUGGGUUGUAAACUUCUUUUAUAAAGGAAUAAAGUCGGGUAUGGAUACCCGUUUGCAUGUACUUUAUGAAUAAGGAUCGGCUAACUCCGUGCCAGCAGCCGCGGUAAUACGGAGGAUCCGAGCGUUAUCCGGAUUUAUUGGGUUUAAAGGGAGCGUAGAUGGAUGUUUAAGUCAGUUGUGAAAGUUUGCGGCUCAACCGUAAAAUUGCAGUUGAUACUGGAUAUCUUGAGUGCAGUUGAGGCAGGCGGAAUUCGUGGUGUAGCGGUGAAAUGCUUAGAUAUCACGAAGAACUCCGAUUGCGAAGGCAGCCUGCUAAGCUGCAACUGACAUUGAGGCUCGAAAGUGUGGGUAUCAAACAGGAUUAGAUACCCUGGUAGUCCACACGGUAAACGAUGAAUACUCGCUGUUUGCGAUAUACUGCAAGCGGCCAAGCGAAAGCGUUAAGUAUUCCACCUGGGGAGUACGCCGGCAACGGUGAAACUCAAAGGAAUUGACGGGGGCCCGCACAAGCGGAGGAACAUGUGGUUUAAUUCGAUGAUACGCGAGGAACCUUACCCGGGCUUAAAUUGCAGAUGAAUUACGGUGAAAGCCGUAAGCCGCAAGGCAUCUGUGAAGGUGCUGCAUGGUUGUCGUCAGCUCGUGCCGUGAGGUGUCGGCUUAAGUGCCAUAACGAGCGCAACCCUUGUUGUCAGUUACUAACAGGUUCCGCUGAGGACUCUGACAAGACUGCCAUCGUAAGAUGUGAGGAAGGUGGGGAUGACGUCAAAUCAGCACGGCCCUUACGUCCGGGGCUACACACGUGUUACAAUGGGGGGUACAGAGGGCCGCUACCACGCGAGUGGAUGCCAAUCCCCAAAACCUCUCUCAGUUCGGACUGGAGUCUGCAACCCGACUCCACGAAGCUGGAUUCGCUAGUAAUCGCGCAUCAGCCACGGCGCGGUGAAUACGUUCCCGGGCCU
rnacentral:rRNA from 1 species